GUGUGCAUUGGUCCUUUGGUGUUUGCCUC
rnacentral:piRNA from 1 species